ensembl:lncRNA
CUCAGACUUAUAAUACAGCACUGCACAAGUGACCUGCUGCAGGAAUAUAGCCUCACAGAAGGGUGGGUCUGAAGGACAAUGAGGAAGAAAACUCCUUCUAGCGGACAGAAAUUUGGGUGAUAGAACUGAUUUUCCAUUUUGUUUGUCUGGAAGGCCAGAGAUCAGAAUGAUGGAUCUAUACCAGUUCAUGGACAAAAGCUAACGGUUUGGCUGGACAUUCAGGGACUUGGAAAGAUCACGAUUUGAGGAUUGGUGAUAAGUAGAUUUGGGGAAGAGGUGGGGAUGCAGUCUUGUUGUAGAAAGAAUUUUCUCCCCGUGAAGUUAAUUGGUUCAGAGACCUCUCCAUUCAGCCAGCAGAUGAAGAAGAAGAAUGGUGGGUUGGGCGUGAAAGUUGUUAUGAACCAAAUAUGGAAGUCACAUUCAUUACUUAUCCAUAUUUUAUUGGCUAGAACUCAGUCAUAUGGCGACUCCUAAAGAAAAGCUGGGAAAGGAAGUGGAGUUGUGAACUCACAAAGGACAAACGGAUUUGGUAAAAGCAUCUAGCCAGUCUGUUGUGGAUGGCAGUACUUUUGAUAAAGCAAAGACGUUCAAGUGAGUGUACAACAACACACAGGUAUUGGAACUUGUGCUUCGUGUUACCACAGUACAGCCCACAUCGGAAAGGCUUGGACAUAUGUAGUCUAUUUCUAAGAUGAGAUGGAGUGCGACAGCCCAGAGUCUGCACAGAACCACGCAGCCAGUGUGUACACAUGGAAGUUUUGAAGUCCCAGAGCAGAGUGUAACUCUUUUGAAGAAAAUAUUUUGUGAUAGCCUGAUUUUACUGGAGCCAUUUGGAACAGACAUUUCUCCGUGGCUUUAUGAAAGCGUUCCACCUUUCUGCAGGAUUUCAGGAAAGUCACAUCUUCCCAAAUUAAUCUUCACUGUUUUUGAAGACCAUGACUAGUUAAAACUCUACAUCAUUACUUAAUCUCAUGUUCUUUCUUUUCUUUUUCUCUUUGUGUAUUUUAAAAAAUAGAAUUACUCAUAAAAGACAGGUGGAAGAUGAAAGAUUAAAUCUAUUCUUCUAUAGUGCCAAAUCAAACUCAAUUUUGAGGCAGACCUAUAGCUAUACAAUGAAAAUAAGUAUUCAAUUAAAGAUGUUAUCAUGAUAUGACUCAAUCAAUGACUAAUACAAUUAAUAUAACACUUGUGGCAAUGAGUAGAAGUUCAACUGCAUUAUAGCAAAAUUACUGUAAAAUGUAAAAUUGAUAUUUUGCACCUUUUCAUUUUCAGGAAUUUGAAGCAUCUAGAUCUCAUCUUGUAGUUGUCAGUUUUCAAUCAUUAUUUAUGUCAGAUGUAUUAUUGACUGAUGAAAGUCAGGUCUCCCUUGCUCCCUUUAAAACACUUAGAAUAGUUGCUUUUGUAUCUUGCAUUUUUCACAAGUACUUUCUUUGUCAAAAAAAACAUUAUGUCACAGCAGAAAUUGCUGCUUAAGCCCCUGAUGCAUGACUUUCUAAAAGGAGAUUUUUUUCUAAAAUCUGUUAGAUUCCUUUAAAGUGAAAAACCCAUAAAACAAAACAAAAUGAAAAAAACUGUCUGCUACAUAUGAUCCACAACAUUUUAGUCCAGUUCAUAGCAUUUGCUUUGCAUAAGUUACACAGCAAAUUUAAUUGAGAAUGAGGAUGAUGCAUUUUUGUGUCAAUAAUAUGACAAAACCAGUGACAACCCUAAUUAUGAGAUGAGAAUUCAUGCUUUAAUUGAUACUGUUAUUUUCCUAGGAAGUUCUGUAUCUUAUACCUUAACAAAGAAAUCUUGCAAUGUUGUCAAAACUUGCGUGGUUUUUUGGAUUCUUGUUUGUUUAUUUGGUUUAGGUGGCCCUGAGAAAUGUUCCUUUAUUUUCUGUCUCUCUCCUGUUUUAAGUAAAAUUGUUGGUUCAUGGAAAGAACUAUUUUCUAGAGUAAAGUAGCUGGUGUCUCAAUAUCCCUAUUUUUAAGCUGAAAUGACACAGUAAGAUCAUUGUGGACAGAAAAGAAGGAAAUAAAUCAGCUUCUGAGAUAUUAUCAUUCACUUUACAUAGUGAAAACAAAUACAGCUUUCAUAUUCUAACACUCACCACAGAUAAAUUGCAUUGUGUAUCAUUAUUUAACACAGUGAAAAAAGAGAGGGUAUCUAUGACUCUGGGGUGUACAGUAUUUUGAUAAUGUAUCCUAUUGAAGCAAAAUAAAUUUGCUACUAGAUGGUAAAAUUACA